GCUCGAUUGCUGCAACUAAGAAACAAAUAUUUUCAGUUGUUCAUUGCAAAUUAAUUUAUGUACAUUGCUAUGAAAUCAAUUGAAAAUAUAAUUGUAUCCUAGGCUUAUCAGCUGCA
ensembl:ncRNA mir-4946 mir-4946 stem loop